GGUCUGUUUGCUAUCCACAGUACACUGCGGAUGUUGUGAAAUUUGAUAAUAACCCGAACUGCAAUAUCUACGCUACAUCGUACGACGCGACUACAUGCGAUCAAAUUGUUGCCAACUACAUGAAGUGCACACUCAAAGCAGCCAAACUUCUGAAGGUCAACAACACCUUUGACGAAGCAGCCUUCAAAGCCACCACGUUGAAGAACAAAUGCAGCACUGACGCCAAGUUUAUAGCUGCGUACCCGCCGUGCAAGAACUCCACCAUGAAAUAUUUGCACGUCAGCCGAUUCAUCUUCUGUCUCAUGCAGAAUACAUACGGCGAGUGAUGUCAGGAAAGAACAUUGAAAUGAGCCAGAAGAAGACGAGCUGAGCAUCAGAAUACGUUUCUUCUUCUAUAACUUACUCAUUUCCGCUUAGAUGGAUUGCUGACGAGUAUAUUGUAAUGUUGCAAUUUUGAGUUCGGAAUUUCUUGGAAAAUGUUCGUGGCUGUGUUUCAAUCUUUGAUUGACGGAUUUUUUACAAUCGAGUUUCACUAUCUCUUCCCCAUAAAAUAAAGAUCCAGGAAAAGGAUUGUAGGAUGCAUUUGCUAUGACCACAUAAAUGUAC